rnacentral:lncRNA from 1 species
AUGAUCACCUACAUGUGCCCUGGAGGGGACGGGCCUGUAAAACCCUUUUUAGAAAAGAUGAGCAGGGCAUAUGAGUACAUUAUUAAAAAUUCUCAAAGGAUGCAAUUGCCAGAAGCUCCCAGCCCAUCUCCAACUCCACAGUCUACCACCUCUCCCUCCCAACCCUCUUCUCCUACUCAUCCUCCAGACCCUUCCACCUUUCUCCCAUCUACUUCUCAUCCCCAAAUGGACUAUGAGGAGGAGACUUACACCCUAACCCUCAUCCCUGUCCAGCCUCCAAGCACCGCCUCAGCAUCUCUCCCUCAAAACACCAUGACUGAAAGGAAGAGAAGAGGUAAAAGUGAGCUGGCUGCCUUGUUCCUCAUGGUAAGAGCUCAGAACUUUGAUUCACAUUAACU